AUUGAACGCUGGCGGCAGGCCUAACACAUGCCAGUCGAACGGUAACAGGAAGCAGCUUGCUGCUUCGCUGACGAGUGGCGGACGGGUGAGUAAUGUCUGGGAAGCUGCCUGAUGGAGGGGGAUAACUACUGGAAACGGUAGCUAAUACCGCAUAAUGUCGCAAGACCAAAGAGGGGGACCUUCGGGCCUCUUGCCAUCGGAUGUGCCCAGAUGGGAUUAGCUUGUUGGUGGGGUAACGGCUCACCAAGGCGACGAUCCCUAGCUGGUCUGAGAGGAUGACCAGCCACACUGGGACUGAGACACGGUCCAGACUCCUACGGGAGGCAGCAGUGGGGAAUAUUGCACAAUGGGCGCAAGCCUGAUGCAGCCAUGCCGCGUGUAUGAAGAAGGCCUUCGGGUUGUAAAGUACUUUCAGCGGGGAGGAAGGGAGUAAAGUUAAUACCUUUGCUCAUUGACGUUACCCGCAGAGGAAGCACCGGCUAACUCCGUG
rnacentral:rRNA from 1 species